rfam:Schistosoma rodhaini strain Burundi genome assembly, scaffold: SROB_scaffold0011416
AUCCAGCUGACGAGUCCCAAAUAGGACGAAACGUGCGUCAAAGUGGAU